GGGGGAUUUUGCACAAUGGGCGCAAGCUUGAUGCAGCGACGCCGCGUGAGGGAUGAGGGCCUUCGGGUUGUAAACCUCUUUCGCUGGGUUGAAAGGCCAUGCUUUGGGUGUGGUUGAUUUGAACUGGUAAAGAAGUACCGGCUAACUACGUGCCAGCAGCCGCGGUAAUACGUAGGGUACUAGCGUUGUCCGGAUUUAUUGGGCGUAAAGGGCUUGUAGGUGGUUUGUCGCGUCUGUCGUGAAAUCCUGUGGCUUAACCAUGGGCUUGCGGUGGGUACGGGCAGGCUUGAGUGCGGUAGGGGAGACUGGAAUUCCUGGUGUAGCGGUGGAAUGCGCAGAUAUCAGGAGGAACACCGGUGGCGAAGGCGGGUCUCUGGGCCGUUACUGACGCUGAGGAGCGAAAGCGUGGGGAGCGAAC
rnacentral:rRNA from 1 species